rnacentral:lncRNA from 1 species
GGUUGCUGCCUAACUUUCAGCCGUGUGUCCAGCAUAUCUGUGAACUGAUCUGGGGCCAGAGCUCAGGGAAAAACAGAGGUAAGUUGUGGUGGGGACCUCCCCAACCCCUACGCACACACACGCACACACAUGCGCAGCAAGACUCCUCCCUGGAGGUGGAAGUAGCGGUGAUGUCAGGCUCCCGGACUUGUGUAUUCAACCCGGUCAGGACAGCAGCUUGGUCUUCCCAGGUGAGGAACUGAGGACUGGCCUGCAUAGAUUUGUGCAGUAGUUUCACUGCAAAUCCACAGAAGCAGGUUUGCGAGCUCGAAUACCUUUGCUCCACUGCCACACGCAGCACCGGGACUGGGCGUCUGGAGCUUAAGUCUGGGGGUCUGAGCCUGGGACCGGCAAAUCCGCGCAGCGCAUCGCGCCCAGUCUCGGAGACUGCAACCACCGCCAAGGAGUACGCGCGGCAGGAAACUUCUGCGGCCCAAUUUCUUCCCCAGCUUUGGCAUCUCCGAAGGCACGUACCCGCCCUCGGCACAAGCUCUCUCGUCUUCCACUUCGACCUCGAGGUGGAGAAAGAGGCUGGCAAGGGCUGUGCGCGUCGCUGGUGUGGGGAGGGCAGCAGGCUGCCCCUCCCCGCUUCUGCAGCGAGUUUUCCCAGCCAGGAAAAGGGAGGGAGCUGUUUCAGGAAUUUCAGUGCCUUCACCUAGCGACUGACACAAGUCGUGUGUAUAGGAAGGCGUCUGGCUGUUUCGGGACUCACCAGAGAGCAUCGCCAACCAGAACGGCCCACCCGGGGUGUCGAGUCUUGGUAGGGAAAUCAGACACAGCUGCACUCCCGGCCCGCGGGCCUUGUGGCAUAUAACCAUUUAUAUAUUUAUGAUUUC